GCCUCCCUCGUCUAGGACACCAUUUUCUGGAAAAAAAUGAACAUCUGUAAGGACAGCCAGCUAGGCUGUUACAAGGCCUCCUCCUUCCAUCACCCCACAGGGAGUAAAUCUGGGCAGGGAAGGACCCAGCCAGAUGUGGAUGUCUGCAUGCUGCUGGGGCAACAUCCCUGCUGCUUGCACAGUUGGAAUAACGUGCCACUAUGAGGUGGCUACUUCGUGAACCGGAGGUUCUCAUUCAGAGUAUAAAUUCAGAGGAAAGACAUCUUCAGGUAAAGAAGGAACAGAAAAUACCAAGUGGUUCUCCACAGGGACCUGUAUGUUUUUCACUACCUAUGGGAGGGAAGUGAAAACCUGUGUUUAGGGAUCCAUUGAAGAAUUUGGUGGUAUUCAUCCUAGUUCAGAGCAACCCCAUGCUGAGCAGAUUGCAUUCCAUCAUGAAAUAAUUGGUAUAGAGGACCUUGAAUAGGCAUGCUCUAUACUUCCAGCAUUUAGUAAAACUCAAAUGGCAGCUGUAAUGACAUUAGUUUAUCACUUCUCAUUCAUCAAAGACUAAAAGUAUUGGAGAAAUUCAUUGGAUAAUAUAACAUCCAUUACACCUUGACUCUGUAUCAGUGAUCAAAGGUGUAAAUACCAUAAGCACGACACUGAUGUUUAUACUCCAAAGUUUGACACCUCACUUUGGGCACAGGAAUAUUAAAAUGUUCUUAGCUAUAAUUCCUCUCCAAAUGUAAAAUUAAUCAUCAAGGCUUUCAAUAGCUUUACUUACUAUGCUGCACCUUAUUUUUUACAACAACCUAAGGAAAUACUCUAGCUACUGAGGCAGUGUUAUUGUAUGCCAAAAGGUGGAGGAGACUGCUAAUAAAGCAAAACCAACCCAAACCAAACCACCACCAACAACAAAACCCAGAAAACCAACUACUGAUAAUGCAGAGGUAAGUUUUUAUUAGGGGUUCUAAAGUGACAUAUGCCAGCUAAAUUAAACUUUUUAAGAUGGUGGAUUAGCCACAGAGUGAAAUCUUUCACACAGACCUCAAAGAAAUCAUAGAAAAGAGUUUUUUAAAAAAUGAUUAAAUACAUAUUUAUGCUUGGAAACCAAAGAAGAGAAUCUCUACAGAUUAGAAAGACAUACCUCAAAAUAGGAAACAAAUAGGAAGCGACAGUGGUAAAAAGAGGCCAAUGCUUUCAGAAAACUAUACUGGUCUAAAGGCAUAUAUAUACACAUAUAUAGGUACAUGUGUAUGUGUGCACACACAUUUGCAGGAAAGAUUUUAUGAAACAUACCAUCUAGUUGUUUAUACUACAAGGGUCAUUUAAAACCUGAACUUUAGGUUCUCCAAAUUUAGGUUAAUAUUGUUGAGAUUUAGGUGAUGUCCUAAGGAGAUCAUUUAGAAUUCAUGAUGGACAAAAAAGUCAUUCUUAGAAAAUGAAAAAACAAGAGCAAGACACCAAGCAUCUGAAAAUCUAACAUGUGAAGGAAGGAAAACACAAUGCACUUAUGGAAGAGUUUAAACUUGGAAAGAAGAGAAAUAAUGCAGCAAUUUGAAAAUGUUUUUAAUAUGUGUAUCUAGUACCCAGGAAGAUAGCAAAUAAAGAUAUAAAUAGUUAUUUGCUUUUUUUAUAAAAAAAUAUAGAAAAUAUGCUAUUGACCAAUGCCAGGCACAUAUUAAACACUUUAUGAAAUUCAGCCAUUAUUUUCUUUCACUAUAAUUUUGGCUUCAUGAAAGCAGAGAAUUUUGUUUGUUUUAUUUACUGCUAUGUUCUCCAGCAUGUAGAAGAAUUUCUUACACAUGGAACAAAAAUUGAACAACUAAUUUUUAGAUAAAAAGGCUCAGAGGAAAUGAACCCAACUAGCAUCCAUGAAGAUGUGGGUUCGAUCCCUGGCCCUCACUCAGUGGGUUAAGGAUUCGGAGUUGCCAUGAGCUGCAGUGUAGGUCACAGACGUGGCUCAGAUCUGGCAUUGCUGUAGCUGUGAUGUAGGCUGGCAGCUAUAACUUGGAUUAGACCCCUAGCCUGGGAACUUCCAUAUGCUACAGGUGUGGCCCUAAGCACCAAAAGAAAAAAAAAGAAUAAAUUAGGUAACCGCAUAUGUAAAAAAUGAACAGGAGGUUACUAAACAAAAGUACUGGUUAUGAGACAAGAACAAGUCCUUAAUGAAAAAACUAAUUAGCUCUCUUACAUAUGAGAGAAAUAACUAUUGAAAUGUAAAAUAAAAGGUUCAUAAUCAAGGUAUCACACAUGGCCACUGCUCUGGGUAGAUUCACCUUCCCCCAAUAAGACUCUGGAGAAAAACUUAAGUUUGGAGAUACUGUUGGUCUCACACAUGGUAGAAGCAUUUUCUAAGAGAGCCCUCAGAGAAAUAAAGUGAGCAUAACCUGGCAUAUGGGGGCUGGGGUUUCUGGAGCUAACAUCUGAGGAGUCACAUUAGGAACACAUAAAAAUUUAGGCCAGGGUAGCCAGAAGCUGAGGCCAGAAAGUUGGAGAAACGCCUAGAGCAGAGGGACUUAAAGUGUUGGUGAGGCAGAGAGGAACUAAAUGUCACAGAAGCCUAUGCUAUGUGAGUCUGAGGGAAGGCAAUCAGAGGUACAGUAUCCUCUGAAAGGAUGUAGAUGAACAUGCUUAGCUUUUGGUUUCGUUAAGUUUAAUAUUCAGGGUAAAGGUUCAAUGCUAACCAAUAAGAGAGAUUAAAGAUAGAAAGCAUAAUUUUGAAUGAGAGAAAAAAAAAA
rnacentral:lncRNA from 1 species